rnacentral:pre_miRNA from 1 species
UUGUUUCUUGCAAUCAGUAACAAGGAUUCAUCUCUGUAUUGUGUGAAGAACAGAGAGAGUCUUUGUAACUAAGUGCAAGUAAUAGCCA